GGAUUAGAUACCCUGGUAGUCCUAGCCAUAAACGAUGGAUACUUGAUGUGAGAUAUCAUAUAUCUCGUGUCUAAGCUAACGCGUUAAGUAUCCCGCCUGGGGAGUACGAUCGCAAGAUUGAAACUUAAAGGAAUUGACGGGGACCCGCACAAGCAGUGGAGCAUGCGGUUUAAUUCGACGCUACGCGAGAAACCUUACCAGGUCUUGACAUCCUUAGGAAGAGUUUAGAAAUAAACUCGCCUCUUCGGAGGCCUUUGGACAGGUGGUGCAUGGCUGUCGUCAGCUCGUGUUG
rnacentral:rRNA from 1 species